AUGAAUGAAAGUUUAUCCAUCUUAAACUGGAAUGUUCAUGGCCUCAACUGUCCAAACCGCCGUGCAACCGUUCAUGAAACAAUCGCCGCUACCUCUUGCAAUCUUGUUUGCCUACAGGAAACAAAAUUAGCUGUUGUUAACCCUUUUGUGGCUUCUUUCCUGGGCGGUCAAAGACUGAAGAAUUUUGCAGAAAAACCUGCUGAUGGAACCAAGGGAGGAAUUCUUAUUCUUUGGAAUGAAGACUACAUGAAGGUGGAUGGCAUCCAUGUUGGCACAUUUUGCAUCUUUGAGAACAUUUCUAUUGUCAAUACUCCCAUCUCCUUCAAACUCACUUCAGUCUAUGGGCAUAUGAGAAGUAAUCUGAAAGACUCUUUCUUCCAAGAGCUUGUGAGCCUCAAGCCUGCACAGGGCACUAGAUGGCUAGUGACGGGAGACUUCAACCAAGUUUAUCGUGCUUGGGACAAAAACCAUGCAAAUGUGGACCGCACUCGCUUAGUGCGCUUUCGAAAUGCCCUUAACUCCUGUGAGGUGAAAGAAAUCCAUCUACAAAAUCGAAAGUUCACUUGGAGCAAUGAACAGACUAACCCGACUUUGAGCAAAUUAGACUUUUUCUGCAAUGAGGAAUGGGACCUAGAUUUCGGCACACACAUCCUCCAUGCCCUGUCGUCCUCGCUCUCGGACCAUUGCCCGCUCCUGUUGGCUAGCGACAAGGGGCCAAAACGACCAAAAUCUUUCCGAUUUAAAUUCUGGACUAAAAUGUCUAACUUCAAGAAGAUCGUCCAGGAUGCCUGGAAUGAGGAAACCACCCACUCCGAGCCCUAUCAGGUGCUUUUUCACAAGCUCAAGAGAACAAGUCAGGGUCUUCGCAAGUGGAGCAGGUCCAUUUUCUCGAACCACAAAAUCCAGCUCCACAUGGCCCUUGAGAUCAUCUUCCGUCUUGACAUCGCGCAAGAACAAAGGACACUGUCAACGGGUGAACGAAACCUGAGAAAGGAUCUUAAGAGAAAGGUUGUGGCCUUGGCGGUUCUCGAGCAGGCAAGGAAAAGGCAAAGCUCGAGAAUUAAGUUACUCAAAGAAGGGGAUGCA
rnacentral:rRNA from 1 species